rnacentral:rRNA from 1 species
CCUACGGGUGGCAGCAGUGAGGAAUAUUGGUCAAUGGACGAGAGUCUGAACCAGCCAAGUAGCGUGAAGGAUGACUGCCCUAUGGGUUGUAAACUUCUUUUAUAUGGGAAUAAAAUGUUCCACGUGUGGGAUUUUGUAUGUACCAUAUGAAUAAGGAUCGGCUAACUCCGUGCCAGCAGCCGCGGUAAUACGGAGGAUCCGAGCGUUAUCCGGAUUUAUUGGGUUUAAAGGGAGCGUAGAUGGAUUGUUAAGUCAGUUGUGAAAGUUUGCGGCUCAACCGUAAAAUUGCAGUUGAAACUGGCAGUCUUGAGUACAGUAGAGGUGGGCGGAAUUCGUGGUGUAGCGGUGAAAUGCUUAGAUAUCACGAAGAACUCUGAUUGCGAAGGCAGUUCACUGGACUGCAACUGACACUGAGGCUCGAAAGUGUGGGUAUCAAACAGGAUUAGAUACCCUUGUAGUC